rnacentral:lncRNA from 1 species
AUGGCGAUUGACUGGUGGCGUGGCGCCGGUGCGGUGGCCGUGCGUCGAAGGUUUUCGCUAGUGGUGGCUGCGGAGCGUGUAGGAGUUCAGUUCUUGGGAGAGACAAAUUUUGGGCGAAAGCUCUGCCUUCGGGCCGGCAACAACGACGCCUGUGGGUGCCGUCGUCGCCCCAUCACGUGCGAUGGCUGCGGUGUUUUCACGUGGUUUCCGUCAUCCGGUGCUGUCGUCGCCCAGAGCUUGCUGCUCGUGGUGCUUGAUGACAACCCGUUGGCGUGGUGGCGGCGAUUUCACUGGUGCCUGUUCGAGAGCUCCCAAUGCUUAGGUUCCAUUGGUCAAGAUUCGCAUGAUUUCUCUUCCCCUUCCCCGUACGUCGAUCCAAGAAGACAGCAGUUCAUAUGCCACCAUUCGAGUUUUUUAGUGGGUUUGGGGAUCUGGAUUAGGGCUCCUUCUUUCUAUAUGUUUCCUACCAGCUUGUUCCAUGCAGGGUUUGUUGUUCGGGUUGAGCUCACGCUCCUCAGAUUUAACGAUGAACUCCGUGGACACCACUUGCUGAGUCCGGUGUUGCUUACUCCAAAAUAUACGGCUCAGCAGCAGACCUCCGUUUUGCGCAGUCUUUGUAGAGUCCACCGAAUGGGGAUUACCGGUUUGUCAAGCGGGCUGCACGCUGAAGGAGGCCCAAGGUUGCAUUCGUCGCGGCAUUUCCGCAGCUCCCUGUCGAUGUGCACCUUAUUUGCUGUGUGGUUUCAUUAUGAAGUUUGUAGCCUUAGUGCAGGUUUCCAUUCUUUAGAAACGGAUGGUUUUAUGCUCUUUCUUUAUCUAUUUGGCAAUGUACUGGGAUUUAUUCCCGUGAACUCUGUCGGUUUAUAUUAAUGGAUGUUUA